GAAUACUGUUGGGACAACUUUGUGGACAACCGUGGAAGGUCCUUCAGGUAUUGGAAGGGUAUACGUCGAAAUUAUUAUGCUCUGAAGAAGAUGCUUGAAGAAAUCCUCUGGGGAUGACUUCAGGGUCCAAGGGACUUCCCGAGUGUGUUGCAGGAGGAAGCCCGUGUCCCAGGGUGCUGAGCCCAGCUGCAGACUCCAGGCUCUGAGUCUGAUUGGAGGGAACACAGGCUUCUCUCCAGGUCUCUGAAGCCGCCCUUGUCCUGCUCCCAGCUGCAUAGAAAUGCUCGCCUUCUGGCUUUUGGAGGAGACAACUUGGAGAGGGCUUGCUUUUCUCUUCGUUCACUUUGGCCAAAUCCAAUAAAGCCUCUGUGACUCUGG